UACGGAGGGGGCUAGCGUUGUUCGGAAUUACUGGGCGUAAAGCGUCACGUAGGGACGGCUUUGCAAGUUAGAGGUGGAAAGCCCGGGGCUUCAACUCCGGAAUUGCCUUUAAAACUGGCAUCGCUAGAAUUGUGGAGAGGUAAGUGGAAUUCCGAAGUGUAGAGGUGAAAUUCGUAGAUAUUCGGAAGAACACCAGUGGCGAAGGCGACUUACUGGACACAUAUUGACGCUGAGGUGCGAAAGCGUGGGGAGCAAACAGG
rnacentral:rRNA from 1 species